AUCUUUCUAGUAUUAAGUUAGCACGAGUGACUUCCAAUCACCUAGUCUUGGUUAAAGUCC
rnacentral:tRNA from 1 species